rnacentral:rRNA from 1 species
AGCAGCCGCGGUAAUUCCAGCUCCAAUAGCGUAUAUUAAAGUUGUUGCAGUUAAAAAGCUCGUAGUUGAAUUUUGGGUUUGGCCGAUUGGUCCGUUCUUGUAGCGAGUACUGAUCGGUUAGGCCUCACCGCUUGGGGAAGGGUAAUGUCCUUUAUUGGGUGUUGCUCGGAGCCAAGGCCUUUACCUUGAAAAAAUUAGAGUGUUUAAAGCAGGCUUAUGCCAGAAUACAUUAGCAUGGAAUAAUAGAAUAGGACAACGAUUCUAUUUUGUUGGUUUCUAGGACCGUUGUAAUGAUUAAUAGGGAUAGUUGGGGACAUUAGUAUUCAAUUGUCAGAGGUGAAAUUCUUGGAUUUAUUGAAGACUAACUACUGCGAAAGCAUUUGUCAAGGAUGUUUUCAUUAAUCAAGAACGAAAGUUAGGGGAUCGAAGACGAUCAGAUACCGUCGUAGU